rnacentral:rRNA from 1 species
UGCGAAGGGGGCUAGCGUUGCUCGGAAUGACUGGGCGUAAAGGGCGCGUAGGCGGCUUGCACCGUCAGAUGUGAAAUUCCUGGGCUUAACCUGGGGGCUGCAUUUGAUACGUGUGGGCUUGAGUGCGGAAGAGGGUCGUGGAAUUCCCAGUGUAGAGGUGAAAUUCGUAGAUAUUGGGAAGAACACCGGUGGCGAAGGCGGCGACCUGGUCCGUGACUGACGCUGAGGCGCGGAAGCGUGGGGAGCAAACAGG